GAUGAACGCUGGCGGCGUGCCUAAUACAUGCAAGUCGAGCGAAUGGAUUAAGAGCUUGCUCUUAUGAAGUUAGCGGCGGACGGGUGAGUAACACGUGGGUAACCUGCCCAUAAGACUGGGAUAACUCCGGGAAACCGGGGCUAAUACCGGAUAACAUUUUGAACCGCAUGGUUCGAAAUUGAAAGGCGGCUUCGGCUGUCACUUAUGGAUGGACCCGCGUCGCAUUAGCUAGUUGGUGAGGUAACGGCUCACCAAGGCAACGAUGCGUAGCCGACCUGAGAGGGUGAUCUGCCACACUGGAACUGAGACACAGCCCAGACUCCUACGGGAGGCAGCAGUAGGGAAUCUUCCGCAAUGGACGAAAGUCUGACGGAGCAACGCCGCGUGAGUGAUGAAGGCUUUCGGGUCGUAAAACUCUGUUGUUAGGGAAGAACAAGUGCUAGUUGAAUAAGCUGGCACCUUGACGGUACCUAACCAGAAAGCCACGGCUAACUACGUGCCAGCCGCCGCGGUAA
rnacentral:rRNA from 1 species